AGGGAUUAAGAUGAUUUAGUAGAUUGCCCCCUUGCUAGGUUAUCUGUAGGAUUCUUCAUCUUGAUUGUUCUUAAUGCUAGUUCUAGAGUAGCUAACUAGAA
rnacentral:sRNA from 1 species